UCACACUUUUGUCAAAGAGCAGGUGCUGU
rnacentral:piRNA from 1 species